rnacentral:rRNA from 1 species
GAUGAACGCUAGCUACAGGCUUAACACAUGCAAGUCGAGGGGAAACGAUAGAGAAAGCUUGCUUUUUCUAGGCGUCGACCGACGCACGGGUGAGUAACGCGUAUCCAACCUGCCCACCACUUGGGGAUAACCUUGCGAAAGUAAGACUAAUACCCAAUGAUAUCUCAAGAAGACAUCUGAAUGAGAUUAAAGAUUUAUCGGUGAUGGAUGGGGAUGCGUCUGAUUAGCUUGUUGGCGUGGUAACGGCCCACCAAGGCGACGAUCAGUAGGGGUUCUGAGAGGAAGGUCCCCCACAUUGGAACUGGGACACGGUCCAAACUCCUACGGGAGGCUGCAGUGAGGAAUAUUGGUCAAUGGGCGAGAGCCUGAACCAGCCAAGUAGCGUGCAGGAUGACGGCCCUAUGGGUUGUAAACUGCUUUUAUAAGGGAAUAAAGUGAGUCUCGUGAGACUUUUUGCAUGUACCUUAUGAAUAAGGACCGGCUAAUUCCGUGCCAGCCGCCGCGGUAA